AGGCUGCUCUUACUCUUGCUCGAUCCCUCUCUGCCUCAGUUCUUCCUCCCUCUCUUUCGCUUGCUUCUUUGCUACUGAGUUGUGGUAUUGAGAGAGGGUGAAGCUGGGAUUGUUUAUACACCUUUGUCUAACUGAAAGCCUGAGAAAGGCUGGUGUACUUGGCUAUAAUUGCUGGCUGGUUAGUGGUUGUUCCCUCUGCAGUAAAAUCGCAGGGUGUACUCGUGAGUUGGAUGAGCCUUUGGCUCCUGGUUGUGCUUUGAUAUCAUAGCUGGAAAGGUGCAUUAUUCCCUGCAUUCCCUUGCUGUACUACUUAACUGUAUUUGUCUCCACAUGAGGUGUUGUACUAGGUUUAUUCAUUACUUUUGUUGGUUUAUGGCAGGUACGAGUGAAGUACGAGCUGCAGGGACGCAGCCUUGCAGAGUGCAGCCACUGAGGUGAAGUGCUGUUGGCUGACUUACUUCUCCCGGCCCAGCUCUUUCUUAUUUUUCUGAAAGGGACAAGGGAGACCUAUUUCCUCUGCCCCUCUAGUUCGGCCCAUCGGACCAUCGAAAAGAUCUGGGCCGCAAGCCCGUGCUGAAGAGGCCCAACGCUAGUUUACACUUUCCUUUUUCUCUCUAUAGUGUAAUCGAGUAGUUCUACUUGAAAACUCUCUUUUCUUUAACGUGUAAUAGUUAUUUGGUGUGUAUUACUUUUCAAGCAUUUGUACUUUAUUAGCUUGAAAUUCUGAAA